rnacentral:rRNA from 1 species
AGUGAACGCUGGCGGUAGGCCUAACACAUGCAAGUCGAACGGCAGCACAGUAAGAGCUUGCUCUUACGGGUGGCGAGUGGCGGACGGGUGAGGAAUACAUCGGAAUCUACUUUUUCGUGGGGGAUAACGUAGGGAAACUUACGCUAAUACCGCAUACGACCUACGGGUGAAAGCAGGGGAUCUUCGGACCUUGCGCGAUUGAAUGAGCCGAUGUCGGAUUAGCUAGUUGGCGGGGUAAAGGCCCACCAAGGCGACGAUCCGUAGCUGGUCUGAGAGGAUGAUCAGCCACACUGGAACUGAGACACGGUCCAGACUCCUACGGGAGGCAGCAGUGGGGAAUUUGGGACAAUGGGCGCAAGCCUGAUCCAGCCAGACCGCGUGGGUGAAGAAGGCCUUCGGGUUGUAAAGCCCUUUUGUUGGGAAAGAAAAGCAGCAGGUUAAUACCCCGCUGUUCUGACGGUACCCAAAGAAUAAGCACCGGCUAACUUCGU